CCGAUCUGCAGCACCAGGAGAUGCGGCGUCUGAAGCAGAGGAGUAAGGAGAAGCCCCAUGUCCAGGUACCAAGCCUGCUUUUUUAGCGCCCCACUUCCUAGCAGCGCCGAGAGUUCGUCCCCGCCGCGGUGCCUCUGGGAGUGGGAACGGGCACCUUGGGAAGCAACCCAUUCCACCAGAAUCGGACCCAACUGCCAAAUGCCAUCAAUGGGCUCUGCAGCCCGGAGCCCUGAGCUGUGGCUGCAAGGGGAUGGGGUAGUGAUGAUGUCCUGGGGCUGCGAGCGGCCAGUGCCUGCAGGCUAAGUUGGUGGAGCUUUUAUUCAAAAUAAAAAUCAGGUGAAAUUUCCUUCUAUUGUCUAGCCAAAUUCUCUUUAAUUUGCCCCAAGGGAAAGUCACUUGCCUUGCAGUGCCUUUUUUACUUUUUUUUUUUUGAGCUCGUCUCCGUCAACAUAAAUGCCUGGGGGUGCUCCCUGGGGGAUGAGUGGGGAAGCCGAAGGUCAGGGUUACCCACUGUGGCAUGACUUUUAAGCUAAAGGGGUUUUUAUUUCUCUUGUUUCCAUGUCAGGUUUCAUUUGGGCAGCAUUAUUCUGAAAGGGUGGGCCUGCUCUUGACAGGAGGGGGUUAAAUGGGAUUACAAGCUUUAGAGGCUGUCAGCAGCCACUGCUGCCUGGGGAUGUUAAAUUGCAAUUUAAUGGUCAGCUUUAUAUGUAUAGUAUCAGUGGAAAUCUGCUGUUUUCAGCAACUUAAUAGGAGCUGUGUUUUCAGGAAGGGACUGUUUUGGAGGGGGGGCGAGGAGUGGGUUUGCUGGCACUGGCAGCUCCUCCCGCCAGGCAGUGGCCGGGCACCAAGGGGCUCUUCCAGUGUGUCCCAACUUCCCCAAACCAGCUCCGUGCCUCAGGCAGGAAGAGAGCAAGCAGUCCUCACUGGAGCAUCGGAGAGUAGGGAGAGAGGGCAGGAAGGUGCUGAGGCGAAGAGGGCAUGAAGGCACUGAGGGGAUGAGGGCAAGAAGGCAAUGAUGGGGUUGCUCAUUGUGUAGGAUUGGCUCCAAAGGCCAGCCACCAGUCAAACUGCCAGUUGGGGGGGAUCUGUAGAUGCAUGUCUUAUGAGUAUCAGUGUGUGUAGAGGUGCUGUGAGGGGCAGAGGGGUAAAGCGUGCUGAGGGGCAGACAGCAAGGCCCCACCAGAGGGCAUCGGUAUUGUCUGUUGGCGAGUGAGGGGUCAGCCCGGAAUGUUCAGGAUUAGUAAAUUUAAUAUCCUGUCAAAAUUCUCAUGAUAAUGAGUGCUGGCUCGGCUGGCUGGUGGGGCUGGCACAGCAGCCUGGGCGCUGCAGCUCCCGAGAUAGCGCCGCUAAUUUAUGGGCAGGAGAUUGUGCUGUGCUGGCAUGGGCCGAGGCGAGAGCGGCUCGGCGGUGGGGCCUCUUGGCUGCGUGCAGCAGCUGCUAAGCUGGGGAAAAUACACAGAUCUGGAUCAUUUUAAGUGAUUCUUAUUCAUUCCAAAAUCCUCCUAACCCCCUGCAAUAGCUUGGCUGAAGUGACAGAGGUGGGCUGCGCUCGGCUUUUCCUCUCCCUCCACUGUGCUUACGAGAGUUCCUCUGCACUGAGGAUUUCUGGCUUUAAAAAUGACAAGAAAGAGGCAGAAAGAGGGAAGAGAGGCAAAACCAUGACUGACCAUGUGUGUUGCACUGUAGACUAAUUUUCGGGAGAGUUUCCUUUACCUUUCGGAGCUGGUAAGUUUAAAACAGCGAACUGGAGGGGAAGAUGGGGACAAAAGAAAGCACAGAGCAAACCAGUACGGUCAGAACAAAUAGUAAACUGUGACCCCAACACAGUAAUUUUUGAGCUGAUGGAUGAUAUUUAAAAUACAGUUCAUAACAGGAAAACGAAAAACAAAAAAGAUGGGGGGAGGAGGGCUGGAUAGGGGAAGAAAAAGAGGAGGGGAGAGAAAGUUCCUGUGCACUUUGUUCAAGGUUCUGCACCUCUCUAAGCAGCUGUCACAUCCGUACAUUAUGGUACAUUGAAUCUGAAUGAGGCUCUCCACAUCAAAACCUUGCAUCCAUUAUGAUAUCAUCUCCUGCUCUAAGCUGUAAUGCUUAUUAAUUCUGCACCCAUACUCUCCAAGCUUCAGCAAAUGUAUUCCAUCAGCCUAGCAUUUAAUUUAAUUAGUACAGCUGGGCUCUCAUUCUCCUUUCUGUGUCAGAGGUAUUGUCAGCACGUUCUGCUAUAACACAAUUACUGAUUGCUUUUAGAUAGGCAGAAAUAUGAUUAGGGUAUUGGGUGACUGUAUCAUAAGCCUUAUUAGAUUCAUUUGAAAUCUGGAGAUAAAUAGGAAACUUUUAUUUGCAGUGUAAUGAGAUUAUGCUUAUUAGGCCAAGGCCUCACAACCUUUUGCAAAGAACAUAGUGUAUCACUAGGAUUAUACUCUGGAACCACACUUUUUGCUCAUAGCAUCCAAGCAAUUUCUCAGCACCUUUGAGAUUUAACUGUUGUAGCCCUGUAUGCAUUUUAGAAUUGUUUUUUGGCUUGGCAGCUCUCUCGUGUGAUAGAUGGUGCACACAUUCUGCUGUGUUUUCUUCUGCUUAAACCAGGAAAUUUUGGGGAAUGUGUUUUGUUCAAUGUGAAAGAUGUUUGUGUGUGCCACAGCCAUGUGUGAUUGAGUAAAUGCGCCAAUACACUGGACAGAAGAGUUUUUGCUAAUAUCAGUCUUUCAUUUCAGACUCUUUUUUUUCCUUCAGUAGAAAUCUGCAACAACAUUUCAUAAUCAGCCGUUUUCAGAAGCUAAAAAAAUAU
rnacentral:lncRNA from 1 species